rnacentral:tRNA from 2 species
GGAGCCGUGCCUGAAAUAAAGGACCACUUUGAUAGAGUGAAUAAUGGGGGUUAAAGUCCCCCCGCCUCCU